GAGUCCUCGUUCUCCAUUUCGUCGUCAAACUUGUUUCCUUCUAGUGACCUGUUUUAUUUCGCUUCUUUUUUCAUGCUAAUUAACAUAAUAUUGUAGUAAGUGAAAAAACGACUUUGACUAUCGAAACACUAGCAGGUGCUACGAGGAAUAGCUUCAUUGAAACUCAUGGAAAUAAAAGUAGCGUUUCGUAAUUGUUGUGCUUCUCAGUGAAAGUUCUUAAACGGGUCACCGUUUCUCGUGUACGACCGGCUCGAAACACGAGACUGAAUACGACGUUUAUCUAUCGACACUGUCGCACGAUUCAAUGGUGAAAUGGCGAUUAACCAACUGAUACGUAAUCGCGAAAAUUUCGAAACGUUUGGCUCCGCACAUGAUUAAUUUAACCCGCGAAUAAUUAAUCGGUGAAUAUAGCCUCUAGAGACAACUCUAUAGCGUCCAUUGUUUGAUCGUCACUUGUAAUUAUUAUGCCUCUCGUUUGGUUCGAAUAGCAUACGAUUGAUCGUAGUCCAGUCACGUUAGAUUUUAUCGUGGAAAAUCGUGUCGAACAAGGUAGGAAUUAAGCUACGGUAAAGCUAGCAGUUCUCGAUUAAAAUAAGUGGGAUACGCGUGUGUCCAUGGAUUAUGAAUUUAUAUGAGAAAGGAACUUCCAUAUUUCAUCUGGCCGUGUCAUGAAUACUGAAUCGUGUACAAAUGAUAUAAGAGAAUCUCUUUGGUUAUUACGUGACAAUUGUUGCAUGUGUAUCGCAUAGUUCAGAAUCCAAAAUGAUGGAAAAGAAGAGACGGAGCCUUCUACGGAAGGCCAAGGACGAGAUUGAACUGGAUAAAAUGAACAAACAGAAACAGGGCAAGGUUCGCAGGAUUUACAUUGUAUAUCAUUGUAUCGAUGAAAACCUCACAGUUAUGACCGAGAGCUAUAACAAAGUGUUUGUAAACUCGACUCAAUAUCCAGUGUUAAUUCGAUUAAUGAAAAUUCUUAACGAAGAAGAAACGAGU